AACGCUAGCUACAGGCUUAACACAUGCAAGUCGAGGGGCAGCAUGGUCUUAGCUUGCUAAGGCCGUUGGCGACCGGCGCACGGGUGAGUAACGCGUAUCCAACCUGCCUUACACUCUUGGACAGCCUUCUGAAAGGGAGAUUAAUACAAGAUGUUAUCAUGAGUAAGCAUUUUCGCAUGAUUAAAGGUUUACCGGUGUAAGAUGGGGAUGCGUUCCAUUAGAUAGUAGGCGGGGUAACGGCCCACCUAGUCUUCGAUGGAUAGGGGUUCUGAGAGGAAGGUCCCCCACAUUGGAACUGAGACACGGUCCAAACUCCUACGGGAGGCAGCAGUGAGGAAUAUUGGUCAAUGGACGAGAGUCUGAACCAGCCAAGUAGCGUGAAGGAUGAAGGUUCUAUGGAUUGUAAACUUCUUUUACACGGGAAUAAACGGAUCCACGUGUGGAUUUUUGCAUGUACCGUAUGAAUAAGGAUCGGCUAACUCCGUGCCAGCAGCCGCGGUAAUACGGAGGAUCCGAGCGUUAUCCGGAUUUAUUGGGUUUAAAGGGAGCGUAGAUGGGUUGUUAAGUCAGUUGUGAAAGUUUGCGGCUCAACCGUAAAAUUGCAAUUGAUACUGGCAGUCUUGAGUACAGUUGAGGUGGGCGGAAUUCGUGGUGUAGCGGUGAAAUGCUUAGAUAUCACGAAGAACUCCGAUUG
rnacentral:rRNA from 1 species